ACUUUAUAUCUCACAAUUUCACUUUAUAUCUUACAACUUUAUUUCUUGUAAUUGCAAAUUUUCAUAUAAUUGAGAUGGUUACAGUUGCAACUUUAUAUUUAACAACUGCCACUUUAUAUUUCACUUUAUUAAUUGGAACUUUAUCAAGCCUUUUGUACUGAGGUGAAAUUGGGCUUCCUUAGGCUUGACUAACAAAAGCACAAAAGAAGGGAAUACUGUAUCUGGAAUAUGCUCACAAGCAUUGAUAUUUAGUUUAGUUUUUCAUUUAGUAGAAUUGUAUUAUUUAAAUCCCACAGAAAAGGAUUUUAAGAGCCUGCAAGACCAAUAUGAUUUCUCAUCAGGUGCAUAGAUCCUAAGGAAAAUGGAGGAACGUUCCUACAGUAUUUCCUUUCCAUAAUUAAGUUCAUGCUGGGAAGUAAAAUUACAAGAUCUCUGUAAUAUUGCAGUUAUUUCUCCUAUAGAGAGCAAUGGGAACAAAUGGAAAAUUAUGGUUGGAUGAUUCUUGUCUUUCUUCUGAGAAAAAAAUUCAAGGCAGCCAUCCUGUUAUUGUUUGUGUGAUUGCAUGAAAUUACAACUCUAAUGAAAGAUCUCAUCGAGGCUGUGAUUCGGGUCCAACGGGUCCAAUAUUCAUUGUUGUUUGUUAUUUUUUUUAUCGGGGUCUUCAUAAACAGCAAGAGAAAAACACACUUGUAAUCUGAUGAUUUGUCUCAAUGUGUGAUUCUGUAAUUAUGGAAACAGUAAAUAAUUAGAAAACAAUACAUAAUUCAUUGUUGACUCCGAUUCAUUAGGUGGAAUCACAUUAAUGAAUGUUUCAUAAGCGGAUGGAUCUCAUUUUGAAGGUGAGGAGAAGUUUGACAGGGCUGGUUUUGCUAAAAGCGCAUGAAGUUCCCUUCAGGAUGACUAUGCAGAUGAGCUGAGAACUCAUUCAAGCAGGGACAAACCAACUGGGAGCUCCAAACAGUCCUGCUGUGAGAGCCGUGAUUGCAGCAUGCAGCAAGGUGGAUGGAACAUCCCAGAGGACCACAGAGGCCUUCUUACUCGCGUUCUCCAUUGAAUUAGCACUAACUCACUUUGACUUUGAAGAAAAAACAACAAUUGAUCUGUGCAUCAGCGGCCUGGUGAGGGAGAGAAAAGAUUCCUGGAGGAGGGCAUUGACUCGCUGAGACAGAUCAAAGCCGAGCCGGAGAGGCUGGUGAGGAUUAUGCCACUGCACAAAGGUGAAAGAAAAGCACUUGGGACUCCAGACGGUUGACAUUCAGCUGUCAUUCAGUUCGUACUCAAUUGGACACUCAAUUGUGGAUGAAGGUAAUUGAAGUUCUUAGAAUGUCUUUAAAGAAUAAUGAGUUGCUUUUCAUCAAUAAGUACAUUAUUUGAGAAUUACCUGCCUUGAUGUCUGGAAUUUAAAUGGAUAGUUCUCCUAAAAAUGAAGGUCAGCUCUGUAGCUGUCUGUUCCUUGUACAGAGCAGGGGUCUUCACUUUUCAACGUUUUCAGCCCACCUUUGAGGAAAGAAAGCAGUGAGUGUUGCAUUUUAAGUUGAUCAGUUAAAUGCCAUGUUUGUGUAUUUAUGUACUUGGUUAUAAUCGCAAAGUCAGCAAAAUGAUCAUUAUGGUGUAGAGAAAGGAGUCAUACAUUUUAAUUUUACUUAAUGCAUUUUAAUGUAUGAAGAACAAUGAAACAUUUAGCUGAACUUACAGUACCCUUUGCUUUGGUUCAAGAGCAUGUCAGUCUGCAUUUACUCACCCUUAUGUUGUUGACUGUAUGACUGUCUUUGUUUUGUGAAACAUAAAAUAAGAUAUUUUGAAAAGUGUUGAUAUUCAAACAAUUUAGGUUGCAUUCCAUUAUAUGAAAAAAAAAAAAUAAAUAAUACAAAGAAAAUCAAUAGGAGCUAAAACCAGCAUUCUUCAAAAUAUCUUUUAUGGUUCUGCAGAGGAAAGGAAUGCAUGCAUGUUUGCAACGAUUUAAGUGAAUAAUGACAAAAAUGUUAAAUUU
ensembl:lncRNA